rnacentral:rRNA from 1 species
UAGGGAAUCUUCGGCAAUGGACGGAAGUCUGACCGAGCAACGCCGCGUGAGUGAAGAAGGUUUUCGGAUCGUAAAGCUCUGUUGUUAGAGAAGAACGUUGGUAGGAGUGGAAAAUCUACCAAGUGACGGUAACUAACCAGAAGGGGACGGCUAACUACGUGCCAGCAGCCGCGGUAAUACGUAGGUCCCGAGCGUUGUCCGGAUUUAUUGGGCGUAAAGCGAGCGCAGGCGGUUCUUUAAGUCUGAAAUUUAAAGGCGUGGCUUACCCAUUGUACGCUUUGAAAACGGGGAGGAUUGGAGGGCAAAAGGGGAGAGGGAAUUUCCAUGUGUAGCGGGGAAAUGCGUAGAUAUAUGGAGGAACACCGGGGGCGAAAGCGGCUCUCUGGUCUGUAACUGACGCUGAGGCUCGAAAGCGUGGGGAGCAAACAGGAUUAGAUACCCUGGUAGUCCACGCCGUAAACGAUGAGUGCUAGGUGUUAGGCCCUUUCCGGGGCUUAGUGCCGCAGCUAACGCAUUAAGCACUCCGCCUGGGGAGUACGACCGCAAGGGUUG